rnacentral:lncRNA from 1 species
UCAGAUCUAAUUAUGGGAACCACAGUCACUCAACUACAAAACUUAAAUACAACUGGAAUAAUUGGAUCCCAACAGGACAGGACCAAGUGUUGGCACUCGACCAUCAAAGGCAAGCAAACGUUGGGUGGAUUAUACUCAUUUUCUUUUCUUGAGGUGAAUAAUUUUCUGAUGGCCUUGAACUGAAAACUGAUGUCCCAUCUGGAAGAAGAGUGCAAUAAUGCUUCCUGUCCCCCUAUUGUGACAUCGCUUUAAUCAUCACAUAUGUAACAGCACAUAGGCUACACACACCUAAGUGGCUGUUAUUUGCUAGUGUUCCUCAAGAUCUGUAACAUGAACAACUUAUAUAAGUGUCACCUGUGGAGCUUGCCAAAAAUGCUUAUUCCAGGAAACUAUCCAGGUCUUUAAAAAAAUAAAUAAAUGUAUG